UACGUAGGGUGCAAGCGUUGUCCGGAAUUAUUGGGCGUAAAGAGCUCGUAGGCGGUCUGUCGCGUCGGCUGUGAAAACCCGGGGCUCAACCCCGGGCCUGCAGUCGAUACGGGCAGACUAGAGUGCGGUAGGGGAGACUGGAAUUCCUGGUGUAGCGGUGAAAUGCGCAGAUAUCAGGAGGAACACCGGUGGCGAAGGCGGGUCUCUGGGCCGUAACUGACGCUGAGGAGCGAAAGCGUGGGGAGCGAACAGA
rnacentral:rRNA from 1 species